rnacentral:lncRNA from 1 species
GGGCAUUUUUCACCUGUCCCCAGGAUCCAGAACAACACAGAGCGUUAAACUUGCCAGGAGCGCCUAGGAGAUCAGCCACGGGAAGAUGCUCAGCCUCCUCCUAGUCUCACCAGGAAAGGCCACCGUUCAUUCCGCCGGGAGCGUGUGCCUUUGCACCAUCACGACCUCUGUCUCUCCCCUUGGCCAGAGCCCACCCUGGGGGCAGAAACCCGCUCUGAAAAGCCUGGAAGUCCGGCACAUGAUGGGCAGACCUCUGAGCUCCUGGAAUCAAGAUAUUUGGAAAACCAUCAAAAGCAGCGGUCAGAGACACCCCACCCUGUGGAGUGAAC